CACGGGGGGAGCAAGCGUUGUUCGGAAUCACUGGGCGUAAAGGGCGUGUAGGCGGUUGGGUAAGUGGAAUGUGAAAUGCCCCGGCUCACCCGGGGACCGGCAUUCCAAACUGCUCAGCUCGAGUAUGGGAGAGGAUGAGGGAAUUCCUGGUGUAGCGGUGAAAUGCGUAGAUAUCUGGAGGAACACCGGUGGCGAAGGCGGCAUUCUGGACCGAUAUUGACGCUGAGGAGCGAAAGCCAGGGGAGCAAACGGG
rnacentral:rRNA from 1 species